rnacentral:rRNA from 1 species
UACGUAGGGGCAAGCGUUGUCCGGAAUUAUUGGGCGUAAAGAGCUCGUAGGCGGCUCAGCAAGUCGGCUGUGAAAUCCCGAGGCUCAACCUCGGAACUGCAGUCGAUACUGCUGUGGCUAGAGUCUGGUAUAGGAGAAUGGAAUUCCCGGUGUAGCGGUGAAAUGCGCAGAUAUCGGGAGGAACACCAGUAGCGAAGGCGGUUCUCUGGGCCAGUACUGACGCUGAGGAGCGAAAGCGUGGGUAGCAAACAGGAUUA